AACGAACGCUGGCGGCAGGCUUAACACUUGCAAGUCGAACGCCCCGCACGGGGAGUGGCAGACGGGUGAGUAACGCGUGGGAACAUACCCUUUUCUACGGAAUAGCUCUGGGAAACUGGAAUUAAUACCGUAUACGCCCUACGGGGGAAAGAUUUAUCGGGGAAGGAUUGGCCCGCGUUGGAUUAGCUAGUUGGUGGGGUAAAGGCCUACCAAGGCGACGAUCCAUAGCUGGUCUGAGAGGAUGAUCAGCCACAUUGGGACUGAGACACGGCCCAAACUCCUACGGGAGGCAGCAGUGGGGAAUAUUGGACAAUGGGCGCAAGCCUGAUCCAGCCAUGCCGCGUGAGUGAUGAAGGCCUUAGGGUUGUAAAGCUCUUUCACCGAUGAAGAUAAUGACGGUAGUCGGAGAAGAAGCCCCGGCUAACUUCGUG
rnacentral:rRNA from 1 species